UGAGGAAUAUUGGGCAAUGGACGCAAGUCUGACCCAGCAACGCCGCGUGGAGGAUGAAGGUCUUUGGAUUGUAAACUCCUUUUGUGGGGGAAAAGAGCGGAUGGUACCCCAAGAAUAAGUCACGGCUAACUACGUGCCAGCAGCCGCGGUAAUACGUAGGUGACAAGCGUUAUCCGGAUUUAUUGGGCGUAAAGCGCACGCAGGCGGCCGAUUAAGUCUGACGUGAAAUCUCUCGGCUUAACCGGGAGCGGUCGUUGGAAACUAAUCAGCUUGAGGCGAGGAGAGGGGUGUGGAAUUCCCGGUGUAGUGGUGGAAUGCGUAGAUAUCGGGAGGAACAUCAGUGGCGAAAGCGGCACCCUGGCCUUAGCCUGACGCUCAGGUGCGAAAGCGUGGGGAGCGAACGGGAUUAGAUACCCCCGUAGUCC
rnacentral:rRNA from 1 species